GUGUCAGCAGCCGCGGUAAUACGUAGGAGGCGAGCGUUAUCCGGAUUUAUUGGGCGUAAAGAGAGCGUAGGCGGUUUGUCAAGUCGGAUGUGAAAUCUCCCGGCUCAACUGGGAGGAGUCAUUCGAUACUGAUGGGCUAGAGUGCAGCAGGGGAAAACGGAAUUCCCGGUGUAGUGGUGAUAUGCGUAGAUACCGGGAGGAACACCAGAGGCGAAGGCGGUUUUCUAGGCUGUUUCUGACGCUGAGGCUCAAAAGCGUGGGGAGCGAACAGGAUUAGAUACCCUGGUAGUCCACGCCGUAAACGAUGGACACUAGGUAUAGGGAGUAUCGACCCUCUCUGUGCCGAAGCUAACGCUUUAAGUGUCCCGCCUGGGGAGUACGGCCGCAAGGCUAAAACUCAAAGGAAUUGACGG
rnacentral:rRNA from 1 species